UUCCAGGACUUCGUUUCUGAUCGAACUAUGAUAAACUGUGCAUUUCCUGCUGCUACUGCACUUGUCAACACGUGAUCUGUGCAGAUACAUUUGUAUAUUGCCCAAUUACUUGUAAGGUCUGGAGCUGUCUCAAUUUUACUAGCAAGCCUGGUGUACACAAAUAAUGAGAGCAUUGGCUUAUGGAUGAUUCUGCCUAAUAUAUGACAUCAAAGGUACAUCAGCUUUAGGACUUUAUUUAUAUGGAUAUUUGUGGUGUGACCAAUACUAGAAGAUAAAUGCCAUCCCCUGCCACCAGAGACAGCAGAUUUAGGCAUCUUUUCCCUAUAGCUACCCCUCCCACUAUUCUGUCAUUGAUUAAAAUUAUAUAACUUAAUAUUUGUGUUGGUGUUGUUUUUCAGCUGCUAACAAGCUGAAUCAUGCAAUUCUGAUCUUAAGUAAAUUAUCAUUUUCAAAAACAUGGUACAUUAAUAUAUAUAUAUCAUUUAUACCAAAUACGGCUUGCCUGGUC